UACGUAGGGUGCAAGCGUUGUCCGGAAUUAUUGGGCGUAAAGAGCUCGUAGGCGGUCUGUCGCGUCUGCUGUGAAAACUCAGGGCUUAACCCUGAGCUUGCAGUGGGUACGGGCAGACUAGAGUGCGGUAGGGGAGACUGGAAUUCCUGGUGUAGCGGUGAAAUGCGCAGAUAUCAGGAGGAACACCGGUGGCGAAGGCGGGUCUCUGGGCCGUAACUGACGCUGAGGAGCGAAAGCGUGGGGGAGCGAACAGG
rnacentral:rRNA from 1 species